rnacentral:rRNA from 1 species
CUCGUAGGCGGUUUGUCGCGUCGUCCGUGAAAACUUGGGGCUCAACCCCGAGCGUGCGGGCGAUACGGGCAGACUUGAGUACUGCAGGGGAGACUGGAAUUCCUGGUGUAGCGGUGAAAUGCGCAGAUAUCAGGAGGAACACCGGUGGCGAAGGCGGGUCUCUGGGCAGUAACUGACGCUGAUGAGCGAAAGCGUGGGUAGCGAACA